rnacentral:lncRNA from 1 species
ACUGGAACCUCAACAGGAUUUUAUACAGGAGAACCGAGGAGGGAUUGUGAAAAAGCCUCAUUUGGAUGAAUUACAAGGGGCGUGAGAAGCUGGAUGUAUUACUUUGUGGGGAAUUGAAAACUUCACGGCGUGAAGCUGCUAGUACAGCUGUUCUGUGAGCCCAAGAAAGACCUCAGAAGACACUGAAAUUGACUCUAAAGUUUAUGUAACAGCCAAAGGGUGAGUAGUGGCCAAGAGAAGUGGAUGUGGGGGGGCGUGUUUUUUGAUGUGGUGAGAGUCUGCACUUAGCAGUGUAGCAUGUGUGAGGAGCUGCAUAAGUCUGCACUGGGGCACUGAAGGUACAGGUGCCCAAGCAACAGAUCUAGGGCACCAGUCCAGUCCUACUGGACAGUGGGGGAAACAGUCUUGUGACAUCUCCUAUCAGACAGGGAAACAUUUAUAAUUUGACAUUCUGCACAAGAGUGAGUUUUGGAUAAAUUUUAUAUUCAAAAGACGAGACUCCUAGGGAAAUGUAUCUGAGUAAGUAUGGAUUUCAUAUGCGAGCCACGGAAAGCAGUAGACACAGAGCCAAAUGCUG